CGACAAUCUGGCAACAUUGACUGUAACCCAGUCCCAGCCUCAGGUCUACGGAGUGGAUUACUUGACUUGGAGAGAGCCCACUAAAGCCGAUUUUUGUUUCUUCAUUUUCUGAGGUGUCAAGAUGACUCGUACCAGCAGAAGGUCAUCAACCACCUUCACUCUUUCGCCAUCCAAGAGGCUAAGUAUCCUGGUACCUGACAGUCCUCGCUCAAGGAGACAGUCCAUGGCGGACGCUUCCAGGAAUAAUGAAAAUGUCUUUCUUGAUGUGCCAGAAAAUAAUGAUGAAAAGGAGAAAAAAGAAAGGCAACUUAGUCGUCUCCAGCAACAGAUCCAGUCCAAGAACUUCUCACCCACAACAACUAAGGCAGACCAACGCAAGUCCGUCAGUGUAGUAUCAGGCCUUAGUAAUCAGCAGCUGACUGAACACUACUCCAAAUGCAUUCAGCUCUCAACAGAAAAU